GGGCUCUUAGCUCAGUGGUUUAGAGCGCUCGCCUCACACGCGAGAGGUCACAGGUUCGAAUCCCGUAGGGCCCA
rnacentral:tRNA from 1 species